AAUCCAUGCAUCAGGCAUUUUUGCAGCAAAUCCUAAAAUCUUUCACAUGCAUCAUUCUAGUUUUUAUCUUUUGAUUGUUUAAAAAAUGUGAGGUUGUUUUGAAGUUU